rnacentral:rRNA from 1 species
AUUGAACGCUGGCGGCAGGCCUAACACAUGCAAGUCGAACGAGUGGCGGACGGGUGAGUAAUGUCUGUGAAACUGCCUGAUGGAGGGGGAUAACUACUGGCAACGGUAGCUAAUACCGCAUACCAUCGGAUGUGCCCAGAUGGGAUUGGCUAGUGGGUGGGGUAAAGGCUCACCUAGGCGACGAUCCCUAGCUGGUCUGAGAGGAUGACAGGCCAAACUGGAACGGAGACACGGUCCAGACUCCUACGGGACGCAGCAGGGGGGAAUAUGGCACAAUGGGCGCAAGCAUGAUGCAGCCAUGCCGCGUGUAUGAAGAAGGCCUUCGGGUUGGAAAGUACUUUCAGCGGGGAGGCGUUACCCGCAGAAGAAGCAACGGCUAACUCCGUGCCAGCAGCCGCGGUAAUUC